rnacentral:lncRNA from 1 species
AGGUUACACCUGUACUACACCACAUGACUGAGUUACUGUACGGACAGGUUACACCUGUACUACACCACAUGACUGAGUUACUGUACGGACAUGUUACACCUGUACUACACCACAUGACUGAGUUACUGAAAGGUUACACCUGUACUACACCACAUGACUGAGUUACUGUAUGGACAGGUUACACCUGUACUACACCACAUGACUGAGUUACUGUACGGACAGGUUACACCUGUACUACACCACAUGACUGAGUUACUGUACGGACAGGUUACACCUGUACUACACCACAUGACUGAGUUACUGUACGGACAGGUUAAACCUGUACUACACCACAUGACUGAGUUACUGUACGGACAGGUUACACCUGUACUACACCACAUGACUGAGUUACUGACAGGUUACACCUGUACUACGCCACAUGACUGAGUUACUGUACGGACAGGUUGACCUGUACUACACCACAUGACUGAGUUACUGUACGGACAGGUAACACCUGUACUACACCACAUGACUGAGUUACUGACAGGUUACACCUGUACUACACCACAUGACUGAGUUACACCUGUACUACACCACAUGACUGAGUUACUGUACGGACAGGUUACACCUGUACUACACCACAUGACUGAGUUACUGUACAGACAGGUUACACCUGUACUACACCACAUGACUGAGUUACUGUACAGACAGGUUACACCUGUACUACACCACAUGACUGAGUUACUGUACGGACAGGUUACACCUGUACUACACCACAUGACUGAGUUAAUGUACGGACAGGUUACACCUGUACUACACCACAUGACUGAGUUACUGUACGGACAGGUUACACCUGUACUACACCACAUGACUGAGUUACUGUACGGACAGGUUACACCUGUACUACACCACAUGACUGAGUUACUGUACGGACAGGUAACACCUGUAAUACACCACAUGACUGAGUUACUGUACAGACAGGUUACACCUGUACUACACCACAUGACUGAGUUACUGUACAGACAGGUUACACCUGUACUACACCACAUGACUGAGUUACUGUACAGAC